AUUGAACGCUGGCGGCAGGCCUAACACAUGCAAGUCGAGCGGCAGCGGGAAAGUAGCUUGCUACUUUUGCCGGCGAGCGGCGGACGGGUGAGUAAUGCCUGGGAAAUUGCCCAGUCGAGGGGGAUAACAGUUGGAAACGACUGCUAAUACCGCAUACGCCCUACGGGGGAAAGCAGGGGACCUUCGGGCCUUGCGCGAUUGGAUAUGCCCAGGUGGGAUUAGCUAGUUGGUGAGGUAAUGGCUCACCAAGGCGACGAUCCCUAGCUGGUCGGAGAGGAUGAUCAGCCACACUGGAACUGAGACACGGUCCAGACUCCUACGGGAGGUAGCAGUGGGGAAUAUUGCACAAUGGGGGAAACCCUGAUGCAGCCAUGCCGCGUGUGUGAAGAAGGCCUUCGGGUUGUAAAGCACUUUCAGCGAGGAGGAAAGGUUGAUGCCUAAUACGUAUCAACUGUGACGUUACUCGCAGAAGAAGCAUCGGCUAACUCCGUGCCAGCCGCCGCCGUAAAAC
rnacentral:rRNA from 1 species